rnacentral:misc_RNA from 1 species
UACGGAGGGAGCUAGCGUUGUUCGGAAUUACUGGGCGUAAAGCGCGCGUAGGCGGCUUAUCAAGUCAGGGGUGAAAUCCCGGGGCUCAACCCCGGAACUGCCCUUGAAACUGAUAGACUAGAAUCCUGGAGAGGCGAGUGGAAUUCCGAGUGUAGAGGUGAAAUUCGUAGAUAUUCGGAAGAACACCAGUGGCGAAGGCGACUCGCUGGACAGGUAUUGACGCUGAGGUGCGAAAGCGUGGGGAGCAAACAGG